rnacentral:rRNA from 1 species
UCAAGCGACUAAGUGUAUGUGGUGGAUGCCUUGGCGAUCACAGGCGAUGAAGGACGUGACAGCCUGCGAAAAGCUGUGGGGAGCUGGCAAAUAAGCUUUGAUCCACAGAUGUCCGAAUGAGGGAACUCACCUGCUUUGCAGGUAUCCCAUCCUGAAUAUAUAGGGAUGGGAGGCGAACGAAGCGAACUGAAACAUCUAAGUAGCUUCAGGAAAAGAAAUCAACCGAGAUUCCGAAAGUAGCGGCGAGCGAAAUCGGAUCAGCCCAGCACUCGAUAGCAGCCAACUUACGGGAACGGUCUGGAAAGUCCGGCCAUAGAGGGUGAUAGCCCCUUACUGGAAAAGGCAGCUGUGGUACUAAGUGUGCGAUAAGUAGAGCGGGACACGUGACAUCCUGCUCGAAGAUGGGGGGACCAUCCUCCAAGGCUAAAUACUCGUGAUCGACCGAUAGCGUACCAGUACUGUGAAGGAAAGGUUAAAAGAACCCCGGGAGGGGAGUGAAAUAGAUCCUGAAACCGCAUACAUACAAACAGUAGGAGCCUCGUUAAGGGGUGACUGCGUACCUUUUGCAUAAUGGGUCAGCGACUUACGUUUAAUGGCGAGCUUAACCGUAUAGGGGAGGCGCAGCGAAAGCGAGUUCGAACAGAGCGUUCAGUCGUUAGGCGUAGACCCGAAACCAGAUGAUCUAUCCAUGGCCAGGUUGAAGGUGUGGUAACACACACUGGAGGACCGAACCGACUAGUGUUGCAAAAUUAGCGGAUGAGCUGUGGAUAGGGGUGAAAGGCUUAACAAAUCUGGAGAUAGCUGGUUCUCCCCGAAAACUAUUGAGGUAGUGCCUCGUGUAUGACUCCAGGGGGUAGAGCACUGUUAUGGCUAGGGGGACAUGGCGUCUUACCAAACCAUGGCAAACUCCGAAUACUUGGAAGUUUGAGCACGGGAGACAGAGCACCGGGUGCUAACGUCCGGACUCAAGAGGGAAACAACCCAGACCGCCGGCUAAGGUCCCUAAUAUUGACUAAGUGGAAAACGAAGUGGAAAGGCUAAGACAGUCAGGAAGUUGGCUUAGAAGCAGCCAUCCUUCAAAGAAAGCGUAAUAGCUCACUGAUCGAGUCUUUCUGCGCGGAAGAUGUAACGGGGCUAAGUCAAUAACCGAAGCCGCGGAUUCACACUUGUGUGUGAGUGGUAGGGGAGCGUUCUGUAAGCCUGCGAAGGUGACUCGUAAGGGUUGCUGGAGGUAUCAGAAGUGCGAAUGCUGACAUGAGUAACGUUAAAGCGGGUGAAAAGCCCGCUCGCCGUAAGCCCAAGGUUUCCUGCUCUACGUUCAUCGGAGCAGGGUGAGUCGGCCCCUAAGGUGAGGCUGAGAAGCGUAACUGAUGGGAACAAGGUUAAUAUUCCUUGACCACCGCUGAAUGCGAAGGGGGGACGGAGUAUUGAAGAUCAUCCGGGUGUUGGAUAUCCCGGUUUGCGAGCGUAGGAGGCUGACAGGCAAAUCCGUCAGCGAAUCUCCGAGGCGAAGCAUCGAGCUCUCUUUUGAGCGAAGUGAUUGGAUGUGCUUCCAGGAAAAGCCUCUAAGCUCCAGUUCAGCGGGACCGUACCGCAAACCGACACUGGUGGGCGAGCUGAAUAUGCUCAGGCGCUUGAGAGAACUCAGGAGAAGGAACUCGGCAAAUUGACACCGUAACUUCGGGAUAAGGUGUGCCUUUGUAGCGUGAAGGGAGAAACACCCCGAGCGCGAAGAGGUCUCAGAUAAUCGGUGGCUGCGACUGUUUAUUAAAAACACAGCACUCUGCAAAGACGAAAGUCGACGUAUAGGGUGUGAUGCCUGCCCGGUGCUGGAAGAUUAAUUGAUGGGGUGCAAGCUCCUGAUCGAAGUCCCAGUAAACGGCGGCCGUAACUAUAACGGUCCUAAGGUAGCGAAAUUCCUUGUCGGGU